AUCGAAUUCUUACUACCACUUUUAAGACUACAACAACUUGCAGUAGAGAAGCGUGUUCAUGAGUUUUGGCUCACUGCUAUGAAGAAAAAUGAAGUACUCGCAAAGGAAAUCAGAGAGUGGGAUGAAGGUCCACUCAAGCAUCUGAAAGAUAUCAAGUGGUCCAGGACUGGUACAGCCAAGGGGUUCAAGCUCAGUUUCUAUUUUCAUGAUGACAAUCCCUAUUUCCAUAAUGCUGUCCUCACAAAAAUUUAUCACAUGACAAAAGCUCAUCACACGUUUGAUCUAAUUUUGGAAAACGUAGAAUCAAUUUUACAUGGAAACAGGUAGGGAAGAAGCUAAAGCAUCGAUCAAAUUGCUGGGUAUCAAAUGACUGGACUAUGAAGUUCCAUAUCUAUGAAAGUUUCUUCAAUUUUUCUAAUGCCACUCUAGUCCCUGAGGAUGACGAUAUUGAAAAAACAGUUGAAGAACUUCAGAAUGCAAUUGAUAAAGACUACCUUGUUGGUUGCACCAUCCGUGACCAGAUCAUCCCACGAGCUGUGUUGUGGUUCACUGGAGAAGCUGCCCUGGUUGAAUAGAAGAAGUUCUGCUGAAACCCAAAUUCUGAUGUUCCUUGUUUUUGCUUACUUUUUUUCCCCAUCUUUGAUAACAUGACAACUUCCAGCCUAUCAUCCUAUGUAGUUCAUCGUUGUUCUUGGUUAUGCGUAUAUUUACUCUAAAAAAAGGGCUUUU